rnacentral:rRNA from 1 species
ACAGAGGUCCCAAGCGUUGUUCGGAUUCACUGGGCGUAAAGGGUGCGUAGGCGGUCGGUUAAGUCUGAUGUGAAAGCUCGGAGCUCAACUCCGAAAUGGCAUCGGAAACUAUCCGGCUCGAGGAAUGGAGGGGAGACUGGAAUUCUCGGUGUAGCAGUGAAAUGCGUAGAUAUCGAGAGGAACACCAGUGGCGAAGGCGAGUCUCUGGACAUUUCCUGACGCUGAGGCACGAAAGCCAGGGGAGCAAACGGGA